UAACGUAGCGAAAGUUACGCUAAUACCGCAUACGAUCUACGGAUGAAAGCGGGGGAUCGCAAGACCUCGCGCGAAUGGAGCGGCCGAUGUCAGAUUAGGUAGUUGGUGGGGUAAAGGCUCACCAAGCCAACGAUCUGUAGCUGGUCUGAGAGGACGACCAGCCACACUGGAACUGAGACACGGUCCAGACUCCUACGGGAGGCAGCAGUGGGAAUUUUGGACAAUGGGCGCAAGCCUGAUCCAGCCAUUCCGCGUGCAGGAUGAAGGCCUUCGGGUUGUAAACUGCUUUUGUACGGAACGAAAAGGUCCUGGUUAAUACCUGGGCUCAUGACGGUACCGUAAGAAUAAGCACCGGCUAACUACGUG
rnacentral:rRNA from 1 species